CUCCCGAGGCCUCCUGUUGUCAUCUAUGCAUCAGUUCAACUGACUGAAGCUGGGGGCACCCAGACCUCCUCCUGUGCUUUAUUAUGGGACAGUUCCGCCUCCCUCCACAUGCAUGCAUACUCUCCCUCCUCUGCCCAAUCCCUGCUCACCACUCUUCUCCUCCUUCUCCAAGAGCAUUGGCAGAAAUUGUCAGAGAGUUGAUCAGAUUUAUUCAAUUUAGACUUAACAGACCUGGAACUCCUAUUUCUCCUGCAGGAAGGCUGGGAUCCAGGAAGCUGCAUCCUGAACAUUGCAUACAGUAAAUGUGACAGACAUGACACAGAAACAGCCAGCCUCGCCCACCCCAGGGCUCUGCUGGAGAAUCUAAGCAUCCUUGGAGAGGCUUAUGUGAAAUGCAAACAACUGCUCAGUCUUACUGACCUUCUGGAAACAGA
rnacentral:lncRNA from 1 species